AGGGCGCAUGGUGAAUGCCUUGGCACUAGGAGCCGACGAAGGACGGGACUAACACCGAUAUGCUUCGGGGAGCUGUACGUAAGCUAUGAUCCGGAGAUUUCCGAAUGGGGCAACCCAGCAGUUUUAAUCAACUGUUACCACUAGAUGAAUUCAUAGUCUAGUUGGAGGUAAACGCUGUGAACUGAAACAUCUCAUUAGCAGCAGGAAUAUAAAGAAAUUUCGAUUCCCUAAGUAGCGGCGAGCGAACGGGGAACAGCCCAAACCAAAGUGCUUGCACUUUGGGGUUGUAGGACUGAACAUUUGAGUUACCAAAGAACUUGAUAGUCGAAGGAUUUGGGAAAAUCCGCCAUAGAUGGUGAUAGCCCAGUAGAUUAAAUCAAAUUCUCUCAGUUCAGGAUCCUGAGUACGGCGGAACACGUGAAAUUCCGUCGGAAUCCGGGAGGACCAUCUCCCAAGGCUAAAUACUACCUAGUGACCGAUAGUGAACCAGUACCGUGAGGGAAAGGUGAAAAGCACCCCGGGAGGGGAGUGAAAUAGUUCCUGAAACCAUGUGCCUACAAUAAGUCAGAGCGCGUUAAUGCGUGAUGGCGUGCCUUUUGUAGAAUGAACCGGCGAGUUAUGAUCCCGUGCAAGGUUAAGACUAAAAAGUCGGAGCCGUAGCGAAAGCGAGUCUGAAAUGGGCGUUUUGAGUACGAGGUUAUAGACCCGAAACCAGGUGACCUAUCCAUGUCCAGGUUGAAGGUGCGGUAAAACGCACUGGAGGACCGAACCCGUGUAAGUUGAAAAUUGCUGGGAUGAGGUGUGGAUAGCGGUGAAAUUCCAAACGAACUUGGAGAUAGCUGGUUCUCUCCGAAAUAGCUUUAGGGCUAGCCUCGGAAUUAGGAUCAUGGAGGUAGAGCACUAUUUGGACUAGGGGCCCGUCUUGGGUUACUGAAUUCAGAUAAACUCCGAAUGCCAUUGAUUCAUAUCCGGGAGUCAGACGAUGAGUGAUAAGAUCCACCGUCGAAAGGGGAACAGCCCAGACCAUCAGUUAAGGUCCCUAAAUGUAUGCUAAGUGGAAAAGGAUGUGGAGUUGCAUAGACAACUAGGAUGUUGGCUCAGAAGCAGCCACCAUUUAAAGAGUGCGUAAUAGCUCACUAGUCGAGUGAUCCUGCGCCGAAAAUGUACCGGGGCUAAGCAUACUACCGAAACCAUGGAUGCGACCAUUAGGUCGCGUGAUAGGAGAGCGUUCUAAGGGCGGUGAAGCAAGAUCGUGAGGACUUGUGGAGCGCUUAGAAGUGAGAAUGCCGGUAUGAGUAGCGAAAGAUAGGUGAGAAUCCUAUCCACCGAAUGACUAAGGUUUCCUGGGGAAGGCUCGUCCUCCCAGGGUUAGUCGGGACCUAAGUCGAGGCCGAGAGGCGUAGACGAUGGAUAACAGGUUGAGAUUCCUGUACUAGUUAAGUGCGUUUGAGCAAUGGAGGGACGCAGGAGGCUAAGAUGUGCAUUCUGUUGGAUUAGAAUGUCCAAGCAGUAAGUCUUGUGAAGAGUCAAAUGCUUUUCACUUUAAGGACAAGCUGUGAUGGGGAGCGAAAUUUAGUAGCGAAGCGUCUGAUGUCACACUGCCGAGAAAAGCUUCUAGUGAGUACUUAACUACCCGUACCGCAAACCGACACAGGUAGUCGAGGAGAGAAUCCUAAGGUGAGCGAGUGAACUCUCGUUAAGGAACUCGGCAAAAUGACCCCGUAACUUCGGGAGAAGGGGUGCUGAUCGCAAGAUCAGCCGCAGUGAAUAGGCCCAGGCGACUGUUUAUCAAAAACACAGGUCUCUGCAAAAUCGUAAGAUGACGUAUAGGGGCUGACGCCUGCCCGGUGCUGGAAGGUUAAAAGGAUGGGUUAGCUUCGGCGAAGCUCAGAAUUGAAGCCCCAGUAAACGGCGGCCGUAACUAUAACGGUCCUAAGGUAGCGAAAUUCCUUGUCGGGUAAGUUCCGACCCGCACGAAAGGCGUAACGAUCUGGGCACUGUCUCAACGAGAGACUCGGUGAAAUUAUAUUGUCCGUGAAGAUGCGGACUACCCGCGACAGGACGGAAAGACCCCAUGGAGCUUUACUGUAGCUUGAUAUUGAGUGUUUGUACAGCUUGUACAGGAUAGGUAGGAGCCAUAGAAACCGGAACGCUAGUUUCGGUGGAGGCGUUGGUGGGAUACUACCCUCGCUGUAUGACCACUCUAACCCGCACCACUAAUCGUGGUGGGAGACAGUGUCAGGUGGGCAGUUUGACUGGGGCGGUCGCCUCCUAAAAAGUAACGGAGGCGCCCAAAGGUUCCCUCAGAAUGGUUGGAAAUCAUUCGCAGAGUGUAAAGGCACAAGGGAGCUUGACUGCGAGACAGACAGGUCGAGCAGGGACGAAAGUCGGGCUUAGUGAUCCGGUGGUACCGUAUGGAAGGGCCAUCGCUCAACGGAUAAAAGCUACCCUGGGGAUAACAGGCUUAUCUCCCCCAAGAGUCCACAUCGACGGGGAGGUUUGGCACCUCGAUGUCGGCUCAUCGCAUCCUGGGGCUGUAGUCGGUCCCAAGGGUUGGGCUGUUCGCCCAUUAAAGCGGUACGCGAGCUGGGUUCAGAACGUCGUGAGACAGUUCGGUCCCUAUCCGUCGCGGGCGUAGGAAAUUUGAGAGGACCUGUCCUUAGUACGAGAGGACCGGGAUGGACAUACCUCUGGUGUACCAGUUGUGCCGCCAGGCGCAUCGCUGGGUAGCUACGUAUGGAUGUGAUAAACGCUGAAAGCAUCUAAGUGUGAAACACACCUCGAGAUGAGAUUUCCCAUUCCUUUAU
rnacentral:rRNA from 1 species